AUACGGAGGGUGCAAGCGUUACUCGGAAUCACUGGGCGUAAAGCGCGCGCAGGCGGGCUGAUAAGUUGGAUGUGAAAGCCUACGGCUCAACCGUAGAACUGCAUCCAAAACGGUCAGUCUAGAGUGUGGGAGAGGAAGAUGGAAUUAGUUGUGUAGGGGUAAAAUCCGUAGAGAUAACUAGGAAUACCAAAAGCGAAGGCAAUCUUCUGGAACACUGCUGACGCUGAGGCGCGAAGGCGUGGGGAGCAAACAGGAUUAGAAACCCCAGUAGUCC
rnacentral:rRNA from 1 species